AGCUCCAAUACCGUAUAUAAAAGUUGUUGCAGUUAAAAAGAUCGCAUUUCGCCUUCUGGUGGGAGCAAUUGGUUUGACACUCCCUGUGGUUACUCGUAUCGUAUCCCGACAUCCUUGGGGAGAGCCUAUAUGGUAUUAAUGUGUCGAGCAGGGGAUCCUUAUCGUUUCCUGUGAAAAAAUUAGAGUAUUCAAAUCAGGCUUAUGCUGUUGAAUAUAUUAUCAUGGAAUAUUAAGAUCGGACCCCAGUACUUUUUUGUUGGUUUGCACCUCGAUAUAAUGAUUAAUAGGGACAGUUGGGGGUAUUCAUAUUGAUCUGUCAGAGGUGAAAUUCUUGGAUUAGCACAAGACGAACUACUGCGGAAGUAUUUACCAAGGAUGUUUUCA
rnacentral:rRNA from 1 species